UUGGAGGGCAAGUCUGGUGCCAGCAGCCGCGGUAAUUCCAGCUCCAAUAGCGUAUAUUAAAGUUGUUGCAGUUAAAAAGCUCGUAGUUGAAUUUCGGGAUUGGCGUGUCGGUCGUGCCUUACGGGGUAUGAACUGGCGUCGUCGAUUUCUCACCUUCUGGAGAAUCACGAUGCCCUUAAUUGGGUGUCGUGUGGAACCAGGACCUUUACCUUGAAAAAAUUAGAGUGUUUAAAGCAGGCAUUUUGCUCGAAUACAUUAGCAUGGAAUAAUAAAAUAGGACGGCUUGGUUCUAUUUUGUUGGUUUCUAGGAUCACCGUAAUGAUUAAUAGGGAUAGUUGGGGGCAUUAGUAUUCAAUUGUCAGAGGUGAAAUUCUUGGAUUUAUUGAAGACUAACUACUGCGAAAGCAUUUGCCAAGGAUGUUUUCAUUAACCAAGAACGAAAGUUAGGGGAUCGAAGACGAUCAGAUACCGUCGUAGUCUUAACCAUAAACUAUGCCGACUAGGAAUCAGACGAUGUUAAUUUUUUAAUGACUCGUUUGGCACCUUACGGGAAAC
rnacentral:rRNA from 1 species